GCCAGCAGCCAUAUCACCCUGCAGCUCUCAACUGGCUACCCACUGAAGCUAAGCAGUGUUGAGCCUGGUCAGUACUUGGAUGUGAGACUUCCUGGGAAGCUAUGGCUGCUGCUGGAA
rnacentral:rRNA from 1 species